GAAUGCUGACAUAAGUAACGAUAAAGCGGGUGAAAAGCCCGCUCGCCGGAAGACCAAGGGUUCCUGUCCAACGUUAAUCGGGGCAGGGUGAGUCGACCCCUAAGGCGAGGCCGAAAGGCGUAGUCGAUGGGAAACGGGUUAAUAUUCCCGUACUUGGUGUUACUGCGAAGGGGGGACGGAGAAGGCUAUGUUGGCCGGGCGACGGUUGUCCCGGUUUAAGCGUGUAGGUGUGUGUUCCAGGUAAAUCCGGUUCACUUUAACACUGAGGCGUGACGACGAGGCACUACGGUGCUGAAGCAACAAAUGCCCUGCUUCCAGGAAAAGCCUCUAAGCAUCAGGUAACAUCAAAUCGUACCCCAAACCGACACAGGUGGUCAGGUAGAGAAUACCAAGGCGCUUGAGAGAACUCGGGUGAAGGAACUAGGCAAAAUGGUGCCGUAACUUCGGGAGAAGGCACGCUGACACGUAGGUGAAGUGAUUUACUCAUGGAGCU
rnacentral:rRNA from 2 species